GCGCCUGGUGGAACACGGGAGAGAGGUUGGCAAGGAAGAGAGGUGCGCGAUCGACGCGCAGAAAGACAGCAGAGACGUUGGAGUGUGAAUCGCGCGCGUGUGCAGUGCGGUGUAUCGCGUGAAGGAGCCGAGCUGAGCUGAGCCGAGUUGGUCGUGUUGUGCGUAUGCGUGACCGGCCGUAUGGACGAACUUGAAGCCGAAAGGGACGAAGGUGUGCGAGAGUAGACAGAGCGGCGGCGGCGAGCGCGGGCAAACGCAGGUCGGCAUUGGCGAGCACGAUUAGCCGAAAACGCGCAGUCGCGUGGUGGAUCCUGUCGGGUGGGAGGCGAUCAGCUGUAAGCACGCGAGGAGCGAAAUGUUCGUCCUGCAGAGGUCUAUAUUGUCCAGCAGCAGAAAUUGUGCAGGAUCAUGGGCACGGAUGCUACCACCUACGCAUCCUGCCGCGAAAGAUAUUCUAUACAAAGAAAUCCACGAAGUAUGUGGAGAUGUGGUACCUAUCAAUAUGGUGAAAGGUAUUGGCCAUUUGAGAGACCCUCGACUUAAUAAGGGUCUGGCAUUUACUUUAGCAGAAAGAAUAUCCUUAGGUAUACACGGCUUACAACCUCCAAGAUUUAAAACUCAGGAAGAACAGCUGGCUCUGUGCAAGGCUUCAGUCAUGAAGUACACCGAAGAUUUAAAUCGGUAUCUUUAUCUCGUGGAACUGCAGGAAAGGAACGAGAGAUUAUUUUUUCGUCUAUUAAGUGAGAACAUCGAACAAAUGAUGCCAAUUGUUUAUACUCCUACUGUUGGAUUAGCCUGUCAAAAGUUCGGCGUUAUCUAUCGUAGACCUCGUGGAUUAUUUAUAACAAUAUACGAUAAAGGCCACAUUUACGAGAUCUUAAACAACUGGCCUGAGCAAGCGGUUCGAGCAAUUUGCGUAACAGAUGGAGAAAGAAUUCUCGGUCUGGGUGAUCUCGGAGCUUGUGGAAUGGGAAUUCCAGUAGGAAAAUUAGCUCUGUACACCGCUCUGGCUGGCAUAAAACCGCAUCAGUGUCUACCAAUUACCAUUGACGUUGGCACAAAUAACGAACAGCUGAGAAACGAUCCUCAUUACAUUGGUCUUAACAAACCGAGAAGUCAAGGUGCUGAAUAUGAUGAAUUGAUUGAUGAAUUUAUGGCUGCUUGUGUGAAAAAAUAUGGUCAAAAUGUUCUUAUUCAAUUCGAGGACUUCGGGAAUCACAAUGCCUUUCGUUUCUUAGAUAAAUAUCGUGACAAGUAUUGCACGUUCAACGAUGAUAUACAAGGCACUGCCGCAGUUGCAGUUGCUGGUAUUUUGGCAUCAAAAAGAAUAACCAAGAAGCGUAUGUGCGAAAACAAAUUCGUGUUUCUGGGUGCUGGCGAGGCAGCUAUUGGAAUAGCUGAUCUUUGUGUUAAAGCGAUGGAAGCAGAUGGUUGUACCGAGCAGGAAGCUCGCGAUAAUAUUUGGAUGAUGGACAUUGACGGACUGUUGGUUAAAAAUCGACCAGAAGGUAAUCUGGAAGGUCACAAAAUUUGGUAUGCAAAAGAUCAUAAAGUGAUGAAGUCAUUAUUGGAAGUUGUAAAGGAAGUAAAACCAACUGUUUUAAUUGGAGCUUCAGCAGCAGCGGGAGCAUUCACUCCUGAAGUCUUGAAAGAAAUGGCCAAGAAUAACGAAAGACCGUUGAUUUUUGCACUGAGUAAUCCGACCAGCAAGGCAGAAUGUACAGCUCAACAAGCUUAUGAUCAUACAGAUGGAAGAUGCAUUUUCUCAUCGGGUUCUCCAUUUGGUGAAGUGAAGUAUUGUGGAAAAGUUUAUAAACCUGGACAAGGAAAUAACGCAUACAUUUUUCCUGGAAUUGCAUUAGGUGUCAUCGCGACUGGAGUUCAUCAUAUUACCGAAGAUUUAUUCCUUAUCUCAGCUCAAGCUGUUGCUGAUCAUGUGAAAGAUGAAGAUCUUGAAGUGGGUAGUCUUUACCCGCCGUUAGGCACUAUACGUGAAUGUUCAAUUGAUAUUGCUGUUCGAAUUGCAAACUAUGCUUAUGCUAGAACUGGAUUGGCAAGCGAAUAUCCAGAGCCAAAAGACAAACGGCAAUUUAUUGUAAGUAAAAUGUACGAUGCCAACUAUGACAGCCCACUGCCAAAUGUUUAUGACUGGCCAGGAGAUUAUGCCAAACCUCGUGUUUUGCCGGAUAAAGACACUGUAGAAAUCCGCCACGAUUUAAAACAUCUGUAGCGGAUUUCACCAAGCGGGAUAUUCAGAGGCUAUCAUUAUUACCAUUACCGAUAAAAAAAUAUCGCUAUGUCCUGCAUUGAAACUAUAAGACAGAUCGUGACACAAGUACAGGCAACAGUGCGGUUGUAAAACAAUUUUAGCUGUAAGGACUGUUACACUCUGUCAGUGACUAAUGCCAGUGCUUUAACCAUAUAACUUGCACGAAGUGUUAAACACAAGAAACAAUGACAUAGUGCUAUUAUUACAGCAUCGAAUGUCUCGUAAGCUAACAUUGCAGUAUUUUAACGUCCUCCUUCAUUCCAUAUGCAGUAUUAGGAUUGUUAGUUUAUCGUUUGAAACCGUGAUAGAUAUUAACCACUGAAAGUAUUUAAAGAAAGUUUAUAAUAUUGUUGUUCACUUUUAUGCCCAACAUUUAUGUUAUGUUAUAUAAGAGCAAAACAGUAAUUUAUUGAAAUACGCCCGCAUAGUACACUUAUGGUUUUACAGUACACGUAUGUAUAUGUAUGUAUGUAUAUAUAUUUAUACAUAUAUAAUGCAGCAAAUACAUAUUUGAACGGUGAAAUUUUUCAAUCGUAAAAUUGAUAAAAAGUAAAAUGAAAAAUUUCACGAAUACAUAGAUAUCUAUAUCUAAAUUUUAGUAGAAAUUCCAUUUUUCCAUUUAUUUUCAGUGUUUCGAGGAUUUUUAUCUUUUAGAGAUAAAUCUUUUUAUCUUGUCAUUUUAUAUAUAACAUUAUUUUUGACGAAUUAGAAACAAAUCUUAAAUACAUUGUACUUUAUGUUUAAGAUUACCUGAUUUUUCCUUUACGAACGAUGUCCAUCGAAAAUCUCCUGUCAUCCUAAAAAGCCAACAUACCUCACCCGAAUGAAAUCCCAUCCAAAUUCAACAAACGUACAAUCCAAAGAUAAUUGGUGUACACGAGGGACGCUUCAGCGCUAUCGUAUUUUUAGUUUGCCAUACUUUACAUAUCUAUAUACGUUAUUAUUAAUACUGAAAUUGUAAAGAAACUAAACUUCUCCAUAAAUGGAGGAAGGAAAGAGAUCGCAGUGAAAUUAUAUGAAACAACUGUCAUUUGUGUUAUAUAAAUACAGCGCACUUGCAAUUAGCAUCCAUUUUUAAAUCAAUAGACGAACCAAUUUAUCUUACGUUUGCUCAAGUAUAUACAUUCGCAGUAAACUAUGCGAAUAAUAAUUUUACGGGUAAAAUAUAAAGUUUCAAGCUAUCGAUCGCACACGCCGACACAGUCGGGAGCUAGUUUCGAAUUUGUGUGUUAUAUAUAAAAAGUAUUUUACGAACGAUAAUAGGAUCACUAGAUAUUUCAAUAUUCUGAAGUACAGAUGCAGAUUACGUGUUGAUUGUUCCUGAAACAUUUUCGGUGUUUAUACUUUCCGGACAAUUGUUGUAUAAAGCAACUCUAUACGAAUCAAAUGGUGCGACCUAUUUUUCUCUACGUAUUGAAGAGUGUCUAUUUUUCGUGAGGGGGUAUUAAUAGCGCUAUAUAUAGAUGUUAAUAUCCCAUUCUAGAUUUGUAACGGUGUAUUUUAUCGAACUUCGCAUGCUGCACAAUAUAUUUGAAUUUUCGGAAAAAUCUGAUGAAACGUGUACAUGCAUAAAAUAUGUUUGUAUGUGUCGUAAUAUAUAAUUAACCGCUAGUUAGUCAAGAUGCCGGUUAUCGAGCGAACAUGUACGCAUUAUGACGUGUUGGCGAGUCGAAAGACAAGACGACUGCUCUGAUGUAUACACACUCGUUUUAAAUUAAUUGAAGUCAAAUUUCAAACAGAAUGACUCAAAAGAUGAGUACUACCAUAAUCCUUUUAUUCUGUAUCAUCAAUCAGGAAAUUCAAUUUUUUAGUCGAGCUUCUUUACACAUUGAUGCUUCGUACUUAUUUAUUAUUAACAUUUAAGUAUCCGGGGAUUUUGCAGGCAAAAGCACGCACUAACGCGCGCGAUCGGGUAUUAGAGCCCGUAUUAAUGCGUGACUGGGUGUUUAAAUGUUAAUUUAAAACAAUAAUUAUAUUUUAUGACUGUAUGUACAUGUAGGCUGUUCACUAAUUUCAGAUUUCCAUGUCUCUAUUUAUUUUAUUUAUUUGUAACCUUUUUAUUUUUACUUGUAUUUAAAACAAACGAUUAAUACAUGUAAAUCAAAAAGUAUUAUUAUAUUGUGAUACAUUGUAUUGAACAUUUAAAGAAGAAAUUAGUGGAUAGUUAUUGCUUGCAAAAAUUGUGUCCCGUAUAUAUGUGCAUAUAUAUAUCAAUGAGACAUUGUUAUUUAUGUUAAAUUUUCUAUUAAUGUAUUAACAACCCUUUUUCCAAAAACUUAAGCAAUUGUAUGGAAUUUAGUAUAAUUAUAUUAUAUUUUUAAAAAACGAUAAUUAUAAUCAUCAAAAAUGUAAAAAUUUCUUAACAUGAAGAUAUCUUCUGUCCCGCUAGGUACAUUAUAUAAGGCCACAUAAGUUGUCACAUCAUUUCUUCAGUUUCAUAUUAUAUUAACAAGCACUAUGAUUAAAAAAGAGGCAGGAAAGCAACAUUGUAAAAACUGUAUUUUUUGUACUGCAUCGUAAUUGUCACUUUUAAGUUAAGUAAAUAUAUAUGAAUCUAAAAAUUCUGUCAGAAGGUUCCUAUGUGUUAUGUGAAAUAGAAACUUUGAUGAACAA